rnacentral:tRNA from 1 species
GCCCACGUGGCGGAAUUGGUAGACGCGCAUGGUUCAGGUCCAUGUGCCUUCGGGUGUAGGGGUUCGAGUCAUGGUUCAGGUCCAUGUGCCUUCGGGUGUAGGGGUUCGAGUCCCUUCGUGGGCACCA